AGUGGCGAACGGGUGAGUAACACGUAAAUAAUCUACCUUUAAGUUUGGGAUAACCUUGCCAACGCGGGGCUAAUACCGGAUGUGGUCACGAAAACGCAUGUUUUUGUGAUUAAAGACGCAAGUCGCUUAGAGAUGAGUUUGCGGCCCAUUAUGCUUGUUGGUGAGGUAACGGCUCACCAAGGCUGCGAUGGGUAGCCGGCCUGAGAGGGUGAACGGCCACAUUGGGACUGAGAUACGGCCAAGACUCUACGGGAGGCAGCAGUACGAAUUUUGGCAAUGAACGAAAGUCUGACGCAGCAACGCCGCGGAAGAAUGAAGGUUCUCGGAAUGUAAACUUCUGUGAGUGGGAAGAAAAGCAGCAAUGGUAUGACGGUACCACUUGAGUAAGCACCGGCUAACUACGUGCAGCAGCCGCGGUAAUACGUAGGGUGCAAGCGUGUUCGGAAUUACUGGGCGUAAAGGGAGUGUAGGCGGGAUCAUAAGUUAGGAGUUUAAUUUACGGGCUCAACCCGUGGUCUGCUCUUAAUACUGUGGUUCUUGAGUAUGGGAGAGGGUGAUGGAAUUCCAGGUGUAGCGGUGGAAUGCGUAGAUAUCUGGAAGAACACCAGUAGCGAAGGCGGUCGCCUGGCCCAAUACUGACGCUGAGGCUCGAAAGCUAGGGGAGCAAACAGGAUUAGAUACCCUGGUAGUCCUAGCUGUAAACGAUGGACACUAGUUGCUGGAGGAGUCAAUCUUUUCGGUGACGAAGCUAACGCAUUAAGUGUCCCGCCUGGGAAGUACGGUCGCAAGACUGAAACUCAAAGGAAUUGACGGGGGCCCGCACAAGCGGUGGAGCAUGUGCUUUAAUUCGAUGCAACGCGAAGAACCUUACCUGGGUUUGACAUGGGGGUGAAAGAGUUCAGAGAUGAAUUCCCUUCCGCAAGGAACACCCUACACAGGUGCUGCAUGGUUGUCGUCAGCUCGUGUCGUGAGAUGUUGGGUUAAGUCCCGCAACGAGCGCACCCUCGCCCUUAGUUGCCAUCAGGUUAUGCUGGAACUCUAGGGACCGCCUAGUUAACUAGGAGAAGUGAGAUGACGUCAAAUCAUCAUGGCCCUUACGUCAGCUAGAAACGUGCUACAUGAUCGGUACAGCCCGAUGCAAGACGGUGACGUCAAGCUAAUCCCUUAAAACCGAUCUCAGUCCGGAUUGAAGUCUGCAAUCCGACUUCAUGAAGCUGGAAUCGCUAGUAAUCGCGGAUCAGCAUGCCGCGGUGAAUACGUUCCCGGGCCUUGUACACACCGCCCGUCAAGCCAUGAAAGAUGGUAGUACCCGAAGUCGCUUCUCUAACCGCAAGGAAGAGUGCGCCGAAGGUAAGACUGUUGAUUGGGGCUAAGUCGUAACAAGGUAACC
rnacentral:rRNA from 1 species